ensembl:antisense Gm13610 predicted gene 13610
AAGCAGCGCGUUAGCUUACGGGCAGGAGUAAGAGCUUUGAAGCCUCGGGUGCGUUGUACCUCCUGGAGCUGUGUGAGUGGUGGAUCGCUUUUUCUCAACUCUUCCCACACUGGAAUGCCUACAAGCUGUCUGUCCCUCCUCCUCCCCAAGGUCUCAGGCUCGCUAUGUAGAGGAUGAUGGCUUUGAACUACUGCCUUUGCUUCCCCAGCGCAGGAAGCUUAGACCCAGAAGUGUUCUGUGAACUCUGAAUUUGAAAAUGCUAAACUUGGGAAUCAGACAAGGAAAGCAACUGUUAAGAGACCAGACUAAAUGCAGUCGGCAGAAGUCUUCACCGACAGAUGCUACACGCCGCAUCAGGACCAACAGACUGAAGAGUCCUGGUUGCCAAACCAUGGAUUUCACCAUCAGUGGCACCAACAAAGCCACCAGCAGUAGGAGGUGACUUCAGCAGGCAGGAGUAAAAGAUUCUGCCCACCUCCACCCAUCUCAGCAGUAGAAAAGGCAGGGCUGGACUUUACCUGUUCCCACCAAAGGCCAUGGCACCCUGACAGACGCUCCUGUUUUUAUGUGUGAUCUAAAGAUGGGGGUUUGAAACCAAAAUAAGGCCCAAGUUCUAUUAUACUUUGAGCUUGACUCUAAAAACCACACAAAGAGAUAUUGCACCUUAAAACACCUCUGUACUAAAAACUUGGCUUGACCAGAUCAUCCGAGGAGUAGGGACAUUUGGCCUGAAGCCUGCCCUCUGUCCUCAGCGUCUAGUUGCAAAUGUGCCUCUCAGAGGGGUAGAGCCCACAGCUGAGAUCACAGAGGUGGUGAGCACACCAAAUUUCACAUGCAAUUUCCUGGCCUUUCCUGCACAGAGUAAUUCAGACAUUAUAUAAACAGAGCAGUGGGACAUUUACUUUUUUUUUUCCAUCUAGACCUACAACAUCAAUACAUAUAAAUAAAUUC